UACGGAGGGUGCAAGCAUUAAUCGGAUUUAUUGGGCGUAAAGGGCGCGUAGGCGGAGAUAAUAGUCAGAUGUGAAAUCCUGGGGCUCAACCUCAGAACUGCAUUUGAAACUGUAUCUCUAGAGGGUAGGCGGAGAAAACGGAAUUCCACAAGUAGCGGUGAAAUGCGUAGAUAUGUGGAAGAACACCGGUAGCGAAGGCGGUUUUCUAGCUUAUACCUGACGCUGAGGCGCGAAAGCAAGGGGAU
rnacentral:rRNA from 1 species